GGAGCUUGCUCCACCGGAAAAAGAAGAGUGGCGAACGGGUGAGUAACACGUGGGUAACCUGCCCAUCAGAAGGGGAUAACACUUGGAAACAGGUGCUAAUACCGUAUAACAAUCGAAACCGCAUGGUUUUGAUUUGAAAGGCGCUUUCGGGUGUCGCUGAUGGAUGGACCCGCGGUGCAUUAGCUAGUUGGUGAGGUAACGGCUCACCAAGGCCACGAUGCAUAGCCGACCUGAGAGGGUGAUCGGCCACAUUGGGACUGAGACACGGCCCAAACUCCUACGGGAGGCAGCAGUAGGGAAUCUUCGGCAAUGGACGAAAGUCUGACCGAGCAACGCCGCGUGAGUGAAGAAGGUUUUCGGAUCGUAAAACUCUGUUGUUAGAGAAGAACAAGGAUGAGAGUAACUGUUCAUCCCUUGACGGUAUCUAACCAGAAAGCCACGGCUAACUACGUGCCAGCAGCCGCGGUAAUACGUAGGUGGCAAGCGUUGUCCGGAUUUAUUGGGCGUAAAGCGAGCGCAGGCGGUUUCUUAAGUCUGAUGUGAAAGCCCCCGGCUCAACCGGGGAGGGUCAUUGGAAACUGGGAGACUUGAGUGCAGAAGAGGAGAGUGGAAUUCCAUGUGUAGCGGUGAAAUGCGUAGAUAUAUGGAGGAACACCAGUGGCGAAGGCGGCUCUCUGGUCUGUAACUGACGCUGAGGCUCGAAAGCGUGGGGAGCAAACAGGAUUAGAUACCCUGGUAGUCCACGCCGUAAACGAUGAGUGCUAAGUGUUGGAGGGUUUCCGCCCUUCAGUGCUGCAGCUAACGCAUUAAGCACUCCGCCUGGGGAGUACGACCGCAAGGUUGAAACUCAAAGGAAUUGACGGGGGCCCGCACAAGCGGUGGAGCAUGUGGUUUAAUUCGAAGCAACGCGAAGAACCUUACCAGGUCUUGACAUCCUUUGACCACUCUAGAGAUAGAGCUUCCCCUUCGGGGGCAAAGUGACAGGUGGUGCAUGGUUGUCGUCAGCUCGUGUCGUGAGAUGUUGGGUUAAGUCCCGCAACGAGCGCAACCCUUAUUGUUAGUUGCCAUCAUUCAGUUGGGCACUCUAGCAAGACUGCCGGUGACAAACCGGAGGAAGGUGGGGAUGACGUCAAAUCAUCAUGCCCCUUAUGACCUGGGCUACACACGUGCUACAAUGGGAAGUACAACGAGUCGCGAAGUCGCGAGGCUAAGCUAAUCUCUUAAAGCUUCUCUCAGUUCGGAUUGUAGGCUGCAACUCGCCUACAUGAAGCCGGAAUCGCUAGUAAUCGCGGAUCAGCACGCCGCGGUGAAUACGUUCCCGGGCCUUGUACACACCGCCCGUCACACCACGAGAGUUUGUAACACCCGAAGUCGGUGAGGAACCUUUGGAGCCAGC
rnacentral:rRNA from 1 species